GGGUUUAAAGGGUCCGUAGGCGGACCGGUAAGUCAGUGGUGAAAUCCCAGAGCUCAACUCUGGAACUGCCAUUGAUACUGUCGGUCUUGAAUUUAGUUGAGGUGGGCGGAAUACUUUAUGUAGCGGUGAAAUGCAUAGAUAUAACGUAGAACACCGAUUGCGAAGGCAGCUCACUAAACUAACAUUGACGCUGAUGGACGAAAGCGUGGGGAGCGAACUUGAUUAGAUACCCUGGUAGUCCACGCCGUAAACGAUGAUAACUCGUUGUGCACAAUACAUCGCGCGUGACUGAGCGAAAGCAUUAAGUAAUCCCCCUGGGGAGUAC
rnacentral:rRNA from 1 species